GACUGUCCCAUCUAAGUUUUUCUC
rnacentral:miRNA from 1 species